GAUGAACGCUGGCGGCGUGCUUAACACAUGCAAGUCGAACGAAGCACUCUAUUUGAUUUUCUUCGGAAAUGAAGAUUUUGUGACUGAGUGGCGGACGGGUGAGUAACGCGUGGGUAACCUGCCUCAUACAGGGGGAUAACAGUUGGAAACGACUGCUAAUACCGCAUAAGCCCACAGUAUUUCAUGAUACAGUGUGUAAGACUCCGGUGGUAUGAGAGGGACCCGCGGCUGAUUAGCUAGUUGGUGGGGCAACGGCCUACCAAGGCGACGAUCAGGAGCCGACCUGAGAGGGUGACCGGCCACAUUGGGACUGAGAAACGGACCAAACUCCUACAGGAGGCAGCAGUGGGGAAUAUUGCACAAUGGGGGAAUCCCUGAUGCAGCGACGCCGCGUGAACGAAGAAGUAUUUCGGUAUGUAAAGUUCUAUCAGCAGGGAAGAUAAUGACGGCACCUGACUAAGAAGCACCGGCUAAAUACGUGCCAGCAGCCGCCGUAA
rnacentral:rRNA from 1 species